CUGGGAUGUUAACAGUGUCUUCAAAGUCUCAAAGGACACAGGGAAUGAUGGUUAUUCUCCUAUUCCUAUGGAGGAACAAUAACUGAGGAGACUAGGAAAAGUAAUUCUAAAGGAGGAAGUUAGAAAGAAACAAGAAGAUAUUCUAUACAGAGUGAUAAGAGUCCAUCAUCAUGGAGCAGAGGCAAGGCAGCAAGCACCAGGCAUGACAGCAGGAACAAGAACCCAAGGCCUUCCAGCUUAAA